rnacentral:tRNA from 1 species
GGAAGGUUGGCAGAGUGGUCAAUUGCACUGGUUUCGAAAACCAGGACGCUUCGGCGUCUCGGGGGUUCAAAUCCCUCACCUUCCG